rnacentral:rRNA from 1 species
UACGGGAGGCAGCAGUGGGGAAUAUUGCACAAUGGGGGAAACCCUGAUGCAGCGACGCCGCGUGAGUGAUGAAGUAUUUCGGUAUGUAAAACUCUAUCAGCAGGGAAGAUAAUGACGGUACCUGACUAAGAAGCACCGGCUAAAUACGUGCCAGCAGCCGCGGUAAUACGUAUGGUGCAAGCGUUAUCCGGAUUUACUGGGUGUAAAGGGUGCGUAGGUGGUAUGGCAAGUCAGAAGUGAAAGGCUGGGGCUCAACCCCGGGACUGCUUUUGAAACUGUCAAACUAGAGUACAGGAGAGGAAAGCGGAAUUCCUAGUGUAGCGGUGAAAUGCGUAGAUAUUAGGAGGAACACC